GAUGAACGCUGGCGGCGUGCCUAAUACAUGCAAGUCGAGCGAACGGACGAGAAGCUUGCUUCUCUGAUGUUAGCGGCGGACGGGUGAGUAACACGUGGAUAACCUACCUAUAAGACUGGGAUAACUUCGGGAAACCGGAGCUAAUACCGGAUAAUAUUUUGAACCGCAUGGUUCAAAAGUGAAAGACGGUCUUGCUGUCACUUAUAGAUGGAUCCGCGCUGCAUUAGCUAGUUGGUAAGGUAACGGCUUACCAAGGCAACGAUGCAUAGCCGACCUGAGAGGGUGAUCGGCCACACUGGAACUGAGACACGGUCCAGACUCCUACGGGAGGCAGCAGUAGGGAAUCUUCCGCAAUGGGCGAAAGCCUGACGGAGCAACGCCGCGUGAGUGAUGAAGGUCUUCGGAUCGUAAAACUCUGUUAUUAGGGAAGAACAUAUGUGUAAGUAACUGUGCACAUCUUGACGGUACCUAAUCAGAAAGCCACGGCUAACUACGUGCCAGCAGCCGCGGUAAUACGUAGGUGGCAAGCGUUAUCCGGAAUUAUUGGGCGUAAAGCGCGCGUAGGCGGUUUUUUAAGUCUGAUGUGAAAGCCCACGGCUCAACCGUGGAGGGUCAUUGGAAACUGGAAAACUUGAGUGCAGAAGAGGAAAGUGGAAUUCCAUGUGUAGCGGUGAAAUGCGCAGAGGUAUGGAGGAACACCAGUGGCGAAGGCGACUUUCUGGUCUGUAACUGACGCUGAUGUGCGAAAGCGUGGGGAUCAAACAGGAUUAGAUACCCUGGUAGUCCACGCCGUAAACGAUGAGUGCUAAGUGUUAGGGGGUUUCCGCCCCUUAGUGCUGCAGCUAACGCAUUAAGCACUCCGCCUGGGGAGUACGACCGCAAGGUUGAAACUCAAAGGAAUUGACGGGGACCCGCACAAGCGGUGGAGCAUGUGGUUUAAUUCGAAGCAACGCGAAGAACCUUACCAAAUCUUGACAUCCUUUGACAACUCUAGAGAUAGAGCUUUCCCCUUCGGGGGACAAAGUGACAGGUGGUGCAUGGUUGUCGUCAGCUCGUGUCGUGAGAUGUCGGGUUAAGUCCCGCAACGAGCGCAACCCUUAAGCUUAGUUGCCAUCAUUAAGUUGGGCACUCUAAGUUGACUGCCGGUGACAAACCGGAGGAGGGUGGGGAUGACGUCAAAUCAUCAUGCCCCUUAUGAUUUGGGCUACACACGUGCUACAAUGGACAAUACAAAGGGCAGCGAAACCGUGAGGUCAAGCAAAUCCCAUAAAGUUGUUCUCAGUUCGGAUUGUAGUCUGCAACUCGACUACAUGAAGCUGGAAUCGCUAGCAAUCGUAGAUCAGCAUGCUACGGUGAAUACGUUCCCGGGUCU
rnacentral:rRNA from 1 species